AACGAACGCUGGCGGCAUGCCUAACACAUGCAAGUCGAACGAGACCUUCGGGUCUAGUGGCGCACGGGUGCGUAACGCGUGGGAACCUGCCCUUAGGUUCGGAAUACCUCCCCGACAGGGGUGCUAAUACCGGAUAAUGUCUUCGGACCAAAGAUUUAUCGCCUUUGGAUGGGCCCGCGUUGGAUUAGCUAGUUGGUAGGGUAAAAGCCUACCAAGGCGACGAUCCAUAGCUGGUCUGAGAGGAUGAUCAGCCACACUGGGGCUGAGACACGGCCCAGACUCCUACGGGAGGCAGCAGUGGGGAAUAUUGGACAAUGGGCGAAAGCAUGAUCCAGCAAUGACGCGUGAGUGAUGAAGGCAUUAGGGUUGUAAAGCUCUUUUAACCGGGAUGAUAAUGACAGUACCGGGAGAAUAAGCUCCGGCUAACUCCGUG
rnacentral:rRNA from 1 species